rnacentral:lncRNA from 1 species
GCAACAUGUUCUUUUUUCUACAGACCGACAGAGCCGUGCUUUAAUCUCCUCUCCUGUCUCAUGGCAGAAGCUUUUAUAACAGUUUUUGCUGUCAGACUACUUUAAGCAACUGCUCAUGAUAAGAGUUUCCAGGAAAACCAGUCUGUGACCAACCUGCAGAUCCAUGCACUUCAAACACGGGCAGCAGCCUGCUCCUCUGCGCAGAUGCUGUAGCAGGAGAAGACGAGACAGCCGGAGCACUACAAAGCGAGAGGAGGAGCCCGUCUGGGGUCCCUGACUGAAUGGUGGGGUAUUUUGUUGCGAGGCCAUCUCUACGUUGCCGUUCGGGAGGCUUCACAGAGUGACGAUGUGGCUCCACAAAGAAGCAAUAUGACUAAACAGCCCUGAUAUGCAAGCGCUUAUUAGGUAUAAUGGAUUCCCUCACAUCGUGUAAUUAUCCCAUUAGCUGAAUCUAGUAAAAUUGAAAAUUCC